AACGAACGCUGGCGGCAUGCCUAACACAUGCAAGUCGAACGAAACCUUCGGGCUUAGUGGCGCAUGGGUGCGUGAAGCGUGGGAAACUGCCCUUGGGUUCGGAUGAACGCCCGGGAAGGGGUCCUAAAACCGGCUAUUAUCUUCGAUCCAAAGAUUUAUCGCGUUUGGGUGGGCCCUCGUUGGAUUAGAUGGUUGGUAGGGUAAAAGCGUACAACGGGGAGGUUCCAUAGAUGGUUUGAGAGGAAGAUCACCCACACUGGGCUGAAGACACGGCCGAGACUCUUACGGGAGGCAGCAGUGGGGAAUAUUGGACAAUGGGCUGAAGCCUGAUGCAGCUAUGCCGCGUGAGUGAUGAAGGCCUGAGGGUUGUAAAGCUCUUUUACCCGGGAUGAUAAUGACGGUACCGGGAGAAUAAGCACCGGCUAACUCCGUG
rnacentral:rRNA from 1 species